CUGCGUGAGCCGAGCGCCGCCGACCCAUAGCCCCCGCCGCGUCCCGGGCAAGACGCUGUACUCCACCUGUGGCAGGCAGUUAACUGAUGCCUGACAGGGUUUGGACUCUUCGUCUUGUCGGUGGAGGUUUUCCCGGGCCUGCAGCCUAGAAACCAUGUCCACCCCNNNNNNNN
rfam:Camelus ferus unplaced genomic scaffold scaffold1687, whole genome shotgun sequence.